CGGGGGUGUCCGAAUGGGGAAACCCAGCUGUGGUAAUUCGCAGUUACUCAUACCUGAAUACAUAGGGUAUGUAGAGGCAGACCAGGGGAACUGAAACAUCUAAGUACCCUGAGGAAGAGAAAACAAUAGUGAUUCCGUCAGUAGCGGCGAGCGAACGCGGAACAGCCUAAACCUAAGAGCUUGCUCUUAGGGGUUGUGGGACGUCUCACAUGGAGUUACAAAGGAAUAUGGUAGGCGAAGAGGUCUGGAAAGGCC
rnacentral:rRNA from 1 species